rnacentral:rRNA from 1 species
UUGAAAGGGAAACGAUUGAAGUCAGUCAUGCUGAUAGGGAAUCAACUUGAUGGUUUGUUCCCCCGGGAGCGAUCUUUCUUGUGCACUUCCUUGCUUGGCAAGUUAGCAUCAAUUUCGGUUGUCAUCAAAAAAUUGAGGGAAUGUGACUUCUUUCGGGAAGUGUUACAGACCUUGAUUAUAUGUGAUAACCGGGAUUGAGGAUUGCAGCGGAUGCUUUUGGGCUAGUCACCUACCUUCUGACGGUUACUUCGCUUUCGAUAGCUUGCUAACGAUUGUGGGAUUUAACAGUCUAGAUGUUGGAGUGAUCUUAUAUUCGUUAAGGAUGUUGACGUA